CGGACCUAGGGAAGAAGCAGUAGGGCAAGGAGCAACGGGGAACCCCACCCUCUCCCCGCAAGGUGCCCGUCUUCCAGCUUCCUCUUCCUCUCUCCCUGCCUCCAAAACCAGCCAUUCCAACCUUCCCCCGAGAGGCCUCGGGAAACCCCUCCACUCCGUGCCGCGGCUUCGCCCCCCUCGGUGCCCCCUCCCCUCCUCUACCUUCUGGAAGAAUUCCUCGUCGGGGCUCCCCAACUUGGCAGUACCCGGAUGCACGACCAGGGCCACUCGCUCAGUCUCCUCCUCGUCAGAGCUGUCAUCUCCCUGAAAGGCCCGGCGUCGCUGAGAGGAGCCCCUGCCCAGCCCCCUCAUCCUCAGGAAAAACGGAAACGGGAAGCCGCAGCUGCAAGCUGAACGGAAGUGAGGCUGCCCGGACUCAAGGAUGCUUCGCCCCUACCGGAAGCUAAGAGGAAGAGGCUCAUCACCGGACGUGAAGUUCCAAGGCGGGGGGGGGGAGGGGAGAAGAGGAUAAAUAUGCGUCAUCCAGACGUCACCCGUCAGUCUUCUCCCUGCUCACAUCACCCCAUGGCGUCCACCCUCGCCACCUUAAGUGACCUAAUGCGGCCCCUCAUCCCUACCCGACCGUCUCCUCGCUCCCUUAAAACCCCGGGUCACGUGAUCUGCUCGAGUCUUUGUGCCUCCUUGUAGGUCAUCCCUCUUAGCGGGGACUCGGGGAACUUGGUUAGAUUUCGGGUGACGCGAUCUUUCUCCCCCCAUUCCCGACAAUCUAAUGGAUUAGCCCAAACCUUGAGGAGGCCCAAGUUCUAAAUCUGGAAAUCAACAACACGUGACUUGCGCUUCCCACCGGGGUACGCCCCCCCCCCCCUCCUUUCCGUCCCGCCCUCGAGAUAUUCCAGGUCUCUGGAGCGCUUUAGCGCUGGAGAAUCCCGGAAAUGAAGCGCCUCCCCUAGCACUUAGUGGGGCUGAGUCCUGAGGUGGUCAGACCCAGUUCCUGCAGCUCCGGGAGAGCUCCUACCCAGCCCCUAUUUGUGACACGCUAUGACCCUGUUAAUGACCCCCAAAUCCAAAUCCACAUUUCAGUGCUGAAAUAGAAGGCCCUACCCAGAGGCAUAGACACUCUAGAUUUAUCUUUUAAAAAGUAGUAUUUGAUUUUUGUUAGUAUAGUAAAAUGCAGCCUUGAAUGCUU